GAUGAACGCUAGCUACAGGCUUAACACAUGCAAGUCGAGGGGUAACGAGAGGAAAGCUUGCUUUCCUUGUCGACGACCGGCGCACGGGUGAGUAACGCGUAUCCAACCUGCCCCCAACUAAGGAAUAACCUUGCGAAAGUAAGACUAAUACCUUAUAAUUUCCUCAGAUGUCAUCUGACGAGGAAUAAAGAUUUAUCGGUUGUGGAUGAGGAUGCGUCUGAGUAGCUUGUUGGCGGGGUAACGGCCCACCAAGGCAACGAUCAGUAGGGGUUGGGAGAGGAAGGUCCCCCACAUUGGAACUGAGACACGGUCCAAACUCCUACGGGAGGCUGCAGUGAGGAAUAUUGGUCAAUGGGCGGAAGCCUGAACCAGCCAGGUAGCGUGCAGGAUGACGGCCCUAUGGGUUGUAAACUGCUUUUAUACAGGAAUAAAGUCAGCCACGUGUGGUUAUUUGUAGGUACUGUAUGAAUAAGGACCGGCUAAUUCCGUGCCAGCCGCCGCAGUAA
rnacentral:rRNA from 1 species